GAUGAACGCUAGCUACAGGCUUAACACAUGCAAGUCGAGGGGUAACGAGAGGGAAGCUUGCUUUCCUUGUCGACGACCGGCGCACGGGUGAGUAACGCGUAUCCAACCUGCCCCCAACUAGGGAAUAACCUUGCGAAAGUAAGACUAAUACCCUAUAAUUUCCUCAGAUGUCAUCUGACGAGGAAUAAAGAUUUAUCGGUUGUGGAUGGGGAUGCGUCUGAUUAGCUUGUUGGCGGGGUAACGGCCCACCAAGGCAACGAUCAGUAGGGGUUCUGAGAGGAAGGUCCACCACAUUGGAACUGAGACACGGUCCAAACUCCUAGGGGAGGCAGCAGUGAGGAAUAUUGGUCAAUGGGCGGAAGCCUGAACCAGCCAAGUAGCGUGCAGGAUGACGGCCCUAUGGGUUGUAAACUGCUUUUAUACAGGAAUAAAGUUAGCCACGUGUGGUUAUUUGUAGGUACUGUAUGAAUAAGGACCGGCUAAUUCCGUGCCAGCCGCCGCGGUAA
rnacentral:rRNA from 1 species